UACAGAGGUCCCAAGCGUUGUUCGGAUUCACUGGGCGUAAAGGGUGCGUAGGCGGUCGGGUAAGUCUGACGUGAAAUCUCCGGGCCUAACCCGGAACUGCCGUUGGAAACUGCCUGGCUAGAGGAAUGGAGGGGAGACUGGAAUACUGGUGUAGCAGUGAAAUGCGUAGAUAGUCAAAGUGGAACACCGUGGCGAAGGCGAGUCUCUGGACAUUUCCUGA
rnacentral:rRNA from 1 species